AUUGAACGCUGGCGGCAGGCCUAACACAUGCAAGUCGAACGGAACCUUCGGGUUUAGUGGCGAACGGGUGAGUAAUGCCUAGGAAUCUGCCUAUUAGUGGGGGAUAACGAAUCGAAAGGUUCGCUAAUACCGCAUACGUCCUACGGGAGAAAGAGGGGGAUCUUCGGACCUCUUGCUAAUAGAUGAGCCUAGGUCGGAUUAGCUAGUUGGUGAGGUAAAGGCUCACCAAGGCGACGAUCUGUAGCUGGUCUGAGAGGAUGGCCAGCCACACUGGAACUGAGACACGGUCCAGACUCCUACGGGAGGCAGCAGUGGGGAAUAUUGGACAAUGGGCGCAAGCCUGAUCCAGCCAUGCCGCGUGUGUGAAGAAGGCCCUCGGGUUGUAAAGCACUUUAAGCGAGGAGGAAGGUCAUCAUACUAAUAUUAUGAUGAAUUGACGUUACUCGCAGAAUAAGCACCGGCUAACUCUGUGCCAGCAGC
rnacentral:rRNA from 1 species